rnacentral:rRNA from 1 species
GAGAAGGUAUUCCCUAGUAGCGGCGAGUGAGCGGGAAGAGCUCAAAUUUGUAAUCUGGCGUCUUUCAGGCGUCCGAGUUGUAAUCUAUAGAAGUGUUUUCCGUGCUGGACCAUGUCCAAGUCCCUUGGAACAGGGUAUCAAAGAGGGUGACAAUCCCGUACUUGACAUGACCACCAGUGCUCUGUGAUACACUUUCUACGAGUCGAGUUGUUUGGGAAUGCAGCUCAAAAUGGGUGGUAAAUUCCAUCUAAAGCUAAAUAUUGGCGAGAGACCGAUAGCGAACAAGUACCGUGAGGGAAAGAUGAAAAGCACUUUGGAAAGAGAGUUAAACAGUACGUGAAAUUGUUGAAAGGGAAACGAUUGAAGUCAGUCGUGUUCAUUGGACUCAGCCGGUUUUCGGUGUAUUUCCUUUGAACGGGUCAACAUCAGUUUUGUCCGGUGGAUAAAGGCAGGAAGAAAGUGGCUCCCUCGGGAGUGUUAUAGCUUUCUGUCACAUACACUGGAGGAGACUGAGGACUGCAACUCGCCUUUUGGCCGGGGUUCGCCCACGUUCGAGCUUAGGAUGUUGACAUAAUGGCUUUAAACGACCCGUCUUGAACCACGGACCA